rnacentral:rRNA from 1 species
UCUCCAGACUCCUACGGGAGGCAGCAGUGAGGAAUAUUGGUCAAUGGGCGGGAGCCUGAACCAGCCAAGUCGCGUGAGGGAAGACGGCCCUACGGGUUGUAAACCUCUCUUGCCGGGGAGCAAGCCUGAGCACGUGUGCCCAGGCGGAGAGUACCCGGAGAAAAAGCAUCGGCUAACUCCGUGCCAGCAGCCGCGGUAAUACGGAGGAUGCGAGCGUUAUCCGGAUUUAUUGGGUUUAAAGGGUGCGCAGGCGGGCUGUUAAGCCGGCGGUAAAAAUUCAGGGCUCAACCCUGUCGAGCCGUCGGAACUGGCAGUCUUGAGUGGGCGAGAAGUAUGCGGAAUGCGUGGUGUAGCGGUGAAAUGCAUAGAUAUCACGCAGAACGCCGAUUGCGAAGGCAGCAUGCCGGCUCCACACUGACGCUGAGGCACGAAAGCGUGGGUAUCGAACAGGAUUAGAUACCCGAGUA